rnacentral:rRNA from 1 species
GACAGAGGGUGCAAACGUUGCUCGGAAUCACUGGGCGUAAAGGGCGUGUAGGCGGGAAGGAAAGUCAGAUGUGAAAUCCCUGGGCUCAACCCAGGAACUGCAUUUGAAACUCCCUUUCUUGAGUACCGGAGAGGAAGGUGGAAUUCCUGGUGUAGAGGUGAAAUUCGUAGAUAUCAGGAGGAACACCAGUGGCGAAGGCGGCCUUCUGGACGGUAACUGACGCUGAGGAGCGAAAGCGUGGGUAGCGAACAGG